rnacentral:rRNA from 1 species
AUUGAAUGCUGGCGGCAGGCCUAACACAUGCAAGUCGAGCGGAUGAAGGGAGCUUGCUCCUGGAUUCAGCGGCGGACGGGUGAGUAAUGCCUAGGAAUCUGCCUGGUAGUGGGGGAUAACGUCCGGAAACGGGCGCUAAUACCGCAUACGUCCUGAGGGAGAAAGUGGGGGAUCUUCGGACCUCACGCUAUCAGAUGAGCCUAGGUCGGAUUAGCUAGUUGGUGGGGUAAAGGCCUACCAAGGCGACGAUCCGUAACUGGUCUGAGAGGAUGAUCAGUCACACUGGAACUGAGACACGGUCCAGACUCCUACGGGAGGCAGCAGUGGGGAAUAUUGGACAAUGGGCGAAAGCCUGAUCCAGCCAUGCCGCGUGGGUGAAGAAGGUCUUCGGGUUGUAAAGCACUUUAGGUUGGGAGGAAGGGCAGUAAGUUAAUACCUUGCUGUUUUGACGGUACCAACAGAAUAAGCACCGGCUAACUUCGUG